GCAUCCAUUUCAAAACAACACAUUAUCAGAGCGUGUGGUGUCGUGUCCCAACAACAUCAAUUCAAUCAUUCACCAUCUCUUUUUUGUUUUCCACGUUUCUACGCUAUUCUUCAAUACCUUUACCAAGUUACCAUAAAAUAAAAUAAAAAACAAAGGAAGAAGUAGAAGGUAGCGGUUGCAGAAUAGAGAGAAAGAAAAGAACCUUCUGUGUUUUUCAUUUUUCAUACACUUCAAAAAAUAAUUUAAUUUCGAUUUAUUUAUUAAAUAUUGUUAUUUGGAAGAUUCUAGAAAAUGAUAAAGGUGUUUCUGGAUCGGGAUUAGAAUUUCUAGGGUUUUUGCUGAUUCAGAUUCCGAUCAGAAAUGUCCGACGCUAAUUCGCUGCCGAGAAACUCCGGUUAUCUCGAUGCUCUUUCUCAAGCGAUCCAUAAGAAGCUUCAACGGGCCUUGGCUAAUUCGUCGCAGAGGCGUAAUUUGUUGCAGGAGCUUUUUGCUGAUGUUGCUUUAGAGGUUGAUGAUCGAGCCAAAGAUGUAAUUUUCAACAAGGAAGAAGAUGUCAUUUCUCCUGUAAAUUACGCCAUGGAUGGUCCGUUGUGUUUCUAUGAUGUGCUUGCUGACUACUUUGUACAAGUGCCUGAAAGUGGAAAACCCGUCCUUGACAUGAUUGUCCAACUCUGGAGUCAGUCAUUUGCUUCGCAUAUUUUUAGCCUCCUGUUUCACAAAUGGAUGUUUGAAGUUCACCUUGAUAAUCCAGAAGUGCUACUUCGGUAUUCAUCUGCCCUAGUUCAAGGUGCCACAAAUGUUUUCUGGAUUGACAUUCAAACAAAUACAAGGCGUUUCCAGUCUAUAUUUCGUUACCUCUUGGAUGAUGUUGCAUUAGACCACACUCGAUUGAAUAAGAUUCCUCUCCAGGCUCAGCGAGAUAUGUAUCUUUUGCUCUCGAGGUUCAUUCUAUUUUACAAUUCAGCUGGAAAAGUUGACAGUUUCUUGAAACAAUGCCCUGUUUUCCAAACUGCUUUCUUAGUUGGCGGUCCUGCAGAUAUAUUUGUGAAUGAACUUACUGAUCAGCUUCAAAAGCUAAAGGUGGAACCUGUGCUGCUGCAUUAUCUUUCAGAAAUUAAGGUCCUUCAGGGUACUACAUCAACCAUUCAGGUAUGGAAUUAAGAAUGACGACAAGUACGAGAUUGAAAACUUGUUUGUAUAGUUUUACUUCUCCUGGUGGUCCAAUGUACCCGACUAGAGCUGUUCGUCAUGCUGCCUGGGAAUCACUGGAUUUUCUUUUUCCGGUUGGGCAGUACCCUCGGCAUCUCAUUAGUCUGUUCUUCAGGUUGCUUUAUCCAUGGUAUUGGCCAUCCUCUUGCUGGAACUUUGUGAUUUCCUGCGUUCGUACAAUCUUUUACUCCUUACUCAGGUUGAUAUUUUCUACGUGGGAAAAGGUUUCCAAACCAAAAACACAAUAGACGUACGUCCAUAUGUCUCGAGGGUAUUAUGUACAUGCAUAGAACCCGAGUCAUCUCUUGCCAACCAGCUCGAAUGCCUUGCUUCUUGACCCUCUGAUAUUUCUUUAUUUUCCACCUGAUGUGAUAUGUAAAAAACAAGCUUGUUAAUGAGAUGUAUAUUUUGUUCACUGUAUGGCUUAGAAUAGGUUUACAAGUCCAAGUAAUGUGAGGAAAUAAAAGACCACUUAAAAACAACUAAACGAGGAACUGUGAUUCAUUUUGUUGAGACAAUUAUUUUAACUUUAGCACACUAUUCUGCAAUGCUUUAUGAGACUUAAGACUGUAUAAGAUUUUAAGAUUGUAAUGUUGUAUUCUGUCAUAGCUAAUGAGUGAUUUUUGGUCUGAAUAAUUAAUUA